GGGCUGGGUCCAGCGGCAGCGCGCGGUCCGCAGACCCUGUCCCACCUCGGUCCUCGAGACCGAAGUCUCGGAGGUGGCCCCGCGGACCUGGAGCAGAGUGAAACCCUGGCCGGAGACUGAAGAAAAGGACCGUUUUCGUGACUGGCUGCGGUCAACAAGCAGUGACACGUCUCGAGAAAACGAGGCCGGGGGCGCCCGGGUGGGCGACAGGGGAGGAUGGGGGCGUCCCGGAGCCGAAGCGCCGCGGGCUCGGGAGACUGGGGGUAGGGACUGGGUCAGCUCUCCCGAGGCUUUGAUGAAUGCGCUGAAAGUGCAAGUUCAUAUCUGCAGAGUCGAUCUCAAAAACGUGCUUAAUGACCGACAAACGCGCUGCAGUCCUUUCCCAUGAACCCCCGCAAACGGAGUCCGUCUCCCAGACCCGAAGAAAUCAGAUUCCGAUACGAUACUGUGCCGACCAGCAAAAUGCCCGCUGCAGCAGUUGAUGGGAACGCUCCCUAGAAGAGCCCCAGCUGCAACCGGCUCUCGAAGACAAAGAGGAAGCGCUACUGCUCUCCGGAGUGGUAGCGUGAGCCUGUCCCUGCCAUUAUGCGGCACCGGCUGCCCAGGGCCACAUCCUCCUUAGAGGGCGGCUACUACCACCUCCCCUCAAUAUCCAUUCGGCAGCUUUCCUGUGCCCCCAACCCAGCCCUCGCUGCCAUAGGCACCCCCCUCAGUGGCUCCCACCAACCCCUAAGGAACAGUGGGGUGUGGGGUCUCCCUGAGAUGGAGCCGAAAUCUCCCGUGUGGCUUACAUCCAUUGCCCUGAAUCUUAGGGCUGCAGAAACAAAACAGCAUAUGAGGAGUGGAUCUUCCCAGGCUCAGGGCAUUAAUUACUCUAUGAAUGGAACAUUAUUCCAUUCUAGCUGUAGAAUUAACAGAAAUAGCUGGUAGUUAUUGAACACACACUAUACACAUGGCAUAUUCCAGGCAUUUUACCCUUAAUUUUUAUUCCUCACAAUGCCUUAUGUAUCAUCACCUAUUAACGAGGGAAAAGCAGCAAAAUGGAGGUUCCUUGAGGUUGGGGAGUUAGCCAGGUCUAGUCUCAUGUGUCAAAGGGGGAGGGUACCACUAGGAACCCCAGCUGGUGAAUGGCUAAGAAUGUGUGCUGUAGAGCCAGACCGGGUACAAAUCCUGGCUAAACCCAACAAGGUUGUGCUAAGGAUUAAAUGAGGUGGUGAAAAGUGGACAGCCUGCACACAGUGACAGAGGGCAGGGACCAUUACUGGUUAAUCUAGUAACGGCUAAGGAAAUAGUGGCCACUGUGAGGUCAGGAGGUUACUGUCUAUUCCAGGCUGUGGACAUGCCCCCACCUUUGCUACUAAGUGCCCUGAGCCAUUCCAUAGGCCCUGGUGGUACCAUCUGUACCUGGAGGGCAGUAGAUUUUCUGGUCUUUAGGAGUCUUCCAGGAUCUGAUGGGUAAACCCUGAUGCAUACACACUCAUCUACACUGAGGAGGUGAGAAGCAUGUAACCUCUUAAGUUUGAGGCCAUGUCAAUCAAUAUGCAGUGGACAGUCACACUCAACUGGAACUCUAGCUGCUAAAGGUGCUACAAUGCCAUAUGCAAUAAGACUGUCUUCUAGCUCAAGAAUAGUUCUCAAACUACACCCCGUGGGCUAAAUCCUACUCCCACCUGUUUGUUCAGCCUUCCAGCUAAAAGUAGUGGUUGCAUUUUUAAAUGGUUGAAAAAAAUCAAAAGAAUGUUAUGACAUGAGAAAGUGAUACAACAUUCAAAUUUCAGGGUUCAUGAAGUUUAUGAGAACACAGCCACGCCCAUUGAUUUUUGUAUUCCCUAUGGUGGCUUUUGUGCUGCCACAGUGGAGUUGAACAGUUGUGAUAGAGACCAUGGGGCACACAAAGCCUAAAAUAUUUACUGUCUAACCCUUACAGAAAAAGUUUACUGACCUCCGUUCUAGCAGAUUGAACCAUGGCAAGGAUGAACAUUAGCAGGUGAUGAUAUGGGACCUUAAGAGUGUGCUCCUCUAAAGCGCAAAAUGAACAUAGAUGACCUGCUCUGACACAGGAAUAAGAACCAAAAGAAAAGGACAAUGUUUAUCAUUGUGGCCAAAAGAUACUCACAAAUAGUUCCUUAAUCAAAAUAUUGCAAAUGUCCGAGAUGGAUUAUCCUACCAGAUACCUCUCCCUUUGUAAAAUAGCUUAUCUUGGGCCUGGUUUGUCUCUCAGUCUCUUGUAAGUUAGGUUAAUGUGAGUUAGAGAGGGCUGAUUUGCCUGCCAGACUGAAGACCUGCUGGGAACUUAGUGAGCCUCUCAGUCAGGUACUGCUAUCCUGCUGAAUUGCAAUUAAACAUGCAGUUGAUUUACAUACAGGAAAUUGUACACUUAAAAACUAUGAUCUGGGAGCACCUCCCCAACUUAGUUUGGAAGUGUAUUUCCCAGGAGAAAAAAAAUUAUUAUUAAAAAAAUUUUUUCAAAGCCAUUAUCUGUGCUCCCCGCCCCCACACAUCAUCUAUACUCCCCACUGCCAAUGCACAUGGGUUCAGGGACCCACUCUUGCCCAAGCCUGCCUCGUCUACACACCACUCCCUUGUUCCCACCCUCUUGCUACACCUAGUUCCUCCCUGAACUUCUCAUACCCUGAAAACUGCCAUCAAUUGGAAAACCAUUUGGCCUGACAAGAUUCUCUCCUAAAAAUGUCCACCUUUCCCAAGCUGUGGCCAGUGUGGCAUGGAUAAACAGCCACCAGGGUGGCCUGGGAAAACAGGAGAGGCACACAUAUAGGGCUGGGUGGGUUUACACCAAUCUCAGGUAAAUAGGAUUAUGUGGGCCAGCUAGGUAUCCAUGGGUCAUGGGUUUGCAUACAGGAAAUUGUGCACUUAAAAACCAUGAUCUGGGAGCACCUCCCCAACUUAGUUUGGAAGUGUAUUUCCCAGGAGAAAAAAAAUAUUAUUAUUAAAAAAAAAUUUUUCAAAGCCAUUAUCCGUGCUCCCCGCCCCCACACAUGGUAUAUACUUUGGGGACAAAGACUAUACUUUCAGGAAUUGUUUCUGUAGUACAUUACUAGAGAAUGUCCUCUGAAUGUGCAGAGCACAGAAAAAUACAAAAUAAUAAUAAAUUCCAAAUCAGCUAUCUGAGUACCUGGGUGGCCUCCCUCACCCAUGAUCAAAAUCAGCUGUGGAAGGGCCUUGCCACCACCCCCACCACUGCUGAAGAUGCCCAUCAGGAGAGCACCACUGUCCAUGCUGACAGCACCCCUUCCUGAAUACCCACCCCGCCAUUGAUCCUUAGGGACCAGAGCCGAGAGGGAGUCCACAUGGGAAUGAGGGCAGGGACCAAAGGCUUUGCCCCAACUCAAGGUCACCUUCUGUGCCCUGGGACCCAAAGCAGCUCUGCUGGUGCUCAGGGCUUCGUCUACCCUCCCACAGCCUUGGAGCUUAAUCCCUCUAACCAAACCUGUUGGAGGGCCCUGGCUGGGUACAAAGGGACAGCACACCCUCCCUUCCCACCUCACUCCCCACUGUGCGGGGCAAUUAAGAGACAAAGACUCACUUGCAUCUCAAUGGGCAUGCAAACAGCCCUGGCUGGCUGGGGGGAGGGGCGCAUGGGGCUCUACAGCAAUUUUCCCAAAUGCCUGACUUCACAGUCAAGUUUCACCAGUCCCAGGAGAAAUACAAAAAAAUGAGGUUGUCGUGGCAAGUUUCCCCCCAUAAAGCUAGAGUAUUGACCUUUAUCUUGAAAUCAUGAACUUGUUUUGGUAUACAAAAGUCCUUUUAUUUCAUGAAAAGAUGGUAGUGUUUUGUUUAAUAUGCUUACUUUGCAAAAUAAGAAGUUGGCAACCCUACCCGUCCCCAAACUGAAAAAAGAAAAGAAAUCUACUCAUUGGUGAAGUUCACAAGUCUGGGAACCGCUGGCUAUCCCAAUAAUAUUCAGCCCACCGAGGCCCAGAUACAUAGGAAUUUUUGGAACACACCCCAUAUGUAAACAGAAGCCCUGAAAAUGCAUUCUAAAACAAUGUUUCCUCUGAUAUUUUUUGAGUCGUAAGCACAUUAUCCCUUAGUCUCCUCCGCCUCUCCACAGCCUUCUUAUUCUCUCCUCUCUUGGAUUUUACAGUAUGGCAAGGACAGGCAGGGCUUUGAAUGCCAUGCUAAUGAGCAAAGAUUUGGUUCUGAAAACAGAGGAGGAGCCACUGAACGCUUUUAAGCAUGAAGCAGCAGCGACAGGGAACUGGUCUACAGGAGUGCUACUGGCAUCAUGUAGGGAGAGAGGCUGGGGACUGUGGGGCUGGAGAGAGGAGUUUGGAUUCCUGGUGUGGACGUGGUGGAGGUAGCAAUUGCCAUAGAAAAGAGGGCCUGGGUAUGUAGGCCUGGCCCAAUUCUCAGGGCUGGGAAGAAAAGGAAGUCCAAGGGCGGAGACAGAUGAUAGGCAAUUAUUACUCUGUGUGAUGCAGGUGGUUAAAGAGUUGAGCACACAGUGUGAUGGGAACACGGAGGUGCAGCCCCUCUCCCAGUGCAUGGUCAGUGUAGAGCUGACUCAAAGAAAUAAUGGUUUGGCCUGCAGACGGCAGGGUGUUCUGAGAGAACCGCUGAAAUGAGAGGAAGGGCAACACGUCGAAUCGAAUUGGCUGGAACCAGGUCACACAGGACUUGCAGACCGGGUGAAGAUCGGACUGUACUCAAAGGCAACCAUGAACCCCCAGGAGUGUUAAGUGGGGAUGGGGUGGUACUGCCGGGUGAUAAGAUCAGAUUGACGUUCCAUGAUUUCAUUUAUCCAUGGAGUCUCAGGACUCUGUUGUACAGAACCCAGAAAAUGCUGCUCUAGGUGACAGGAGCCAUUAGAGUGAAAAGCUGGGGAGAGUGGAGAAGAGACAGAGGUGGGGAAGGAGAGGGAGGAGGCAGUGCAGAAGUCCCGGGAAUGCUUUGGCUGGGCUCAGGAGGAAGGGCGAGGUGGCGUGGAGACUCUCCUGCUCUGCCUGCUUGUCCCAGAAACAGCCCAGUGUGGUGGGUCAGGAGCAGCGGCUUCACAGACAGCAGGGUCAUCUUCCAUUGCCAUGUUUCUGCAGAGCAGCACCCCCUACCACCACCACCACCACCAAUCACUCCUGUCUUACAUGCAGCAGAGUUGCUCACUCCCAAAGGGGACCCUCUGUAAUGUAAUGCAACAAAUUUCAAUGAGAUAGGAAUCAUCUCAUCUUUUUUGAUUCCUGUUAGGAUUCCCAUUGGUGGUUUGAGGAAUUUUCUUAACACACCAACGACCACACGAUAGUGAUGAUAUUGGCAAUUAUGGCCAUGGUGACUAUGAUCCCAAAAGAAAAGAAGACGAUGCCAAAGGCCGCAAGAAGAUGGCCAUCUGCAAGCCAGAAAGAGACCUCUCACCAGAAACCGAAUCUGCCACCACCCUGAUCUUGGACUUCCCGGCCUCCAAAACUGAGUGGAACUGGUGGCUUUAUAAGAAAAGGAAGAGAGACCUGAGUGAGCAUGCUCAGCCCCCUCGACAUGUGAUGUCCUUUGCCACCUCAGUACUCUGCAGAAUCCCCGCCGGCAAGAAGUCCCUGACCAGAUGCAGCCCCUCAACCUUGGACGUUUCAGCCUCCACAACUGUACUUCUGUCAAGUCCAAAUCAAGCAGAAUGGGUUCCAACCAGCAGCAGGGUUUUCACUUGUAAGCAAACCACAGAAGGGAUCAGCCACCAACCCAACAGAUGAACAACUUGACUUGCUUUCCAAUGGAGCCCAGCAUUUGAAGCUGUGAUAAUUGUCAGUUUAAAUGUUAGCUGUCUAUGUCCUCCAACAGCUCAGAGACUCAGAGUUGAUGCGCUGGAUUCUACUGCAAGUUGCGUCUUGAUAAACAUAGUUACUAUGUGAGCCAGCAAAUUCCAUUUCUAGAUAUAUACCCAAGAGAAAUAAAAACUCAUGUUCACAGGAAUGCUUGUACACAAAUGAUCAUAGCAGCAUCAUUCAUAAUAGCCAAAGUGGGAGCAAACCAAAUGUCCAUCAAGCAAUGGAUGGAUAAACAAAAUGUGAUCCAGUCAUACAAUGGAAUAUUAUUCAGCCAUUAAAAGAAAUGAAAUACUGAUCUGUGCUCAAACAUGGAUGGACCUUGAAAACAUUAGGCUAAAUGGAAAAUGCCAGACACAGAAGAUAGGACACAUAAUCAGACACAUGUUGUAUGAUUCCAUUUAUAUGAAAUGUACAGAAUGGGCAAAUCCACAGAGACAGAAAGCAGAUGAAUGGUUUCCAGGGGCUGGGGGGAGAGGGAUGAAGAAUGACUCCUUAAUGGGUGCAGGGUUUCUUGUAGGGUGAAGAAAAUAUUCUAAAAUUGAUUUUAUAAUGGUGAUUGCCCAACUCUGUGAAUGUACUAGAAACCACAGGUAGUACAUUUUAAAAUGGUUAAGUGGUAAAUGUCUUUUUUAAACAUUUUAUUAUCACUAUAUAUAUCAUAAAAGUUAUUAUUUUGACCACUAUUAAGUAUGCAAUUCAUUGACAUUAAGUACAUUUACAAUAUUGUGCAACUGUCACCACCAUCCAUCUCCAGAACUUUCUCAUCAUCCUAAACUGCAACUCCAUACCCAUUAAAUACUUGCUAUUACUCCCUCCCUUCCCCCAGCCCCUGGAGAUUUGUUUUGUUUUGUUUUGUUUUGAGAUGGCAUCUCAGUCUGUCACCCAGGUUGGAGUGCAGCAGUGCAACCUCAGCUCACUGCAACCUCUGCCUCCAGGGUUCAAGCAAUUCUCCUGCCUCAGCCUCCCGAGUAGCUGGGAUUACAGGUAUGCGCCAUCACACCCAGCUAAUUUUUGUAUUUUUAGUAGAGAUGGGUUUUUGCCAUGUUGGCCAGGCUGGUCUCGAACUCCUGACCUCAGGCAAGCUGCCCGCCUUGGCCUCCCAAAAAAAAAAAGUGCUGGGAUUACAGGCGUGAGUCACCGCCCCCAGACCCCACUGGAGAUUUCUAAUCUAUUUGCUCUCAAUGAUUUUGACUAUUCUAGGUACUUUAUAUAAGUGGAAUCAAACAAUAUUUGGCCUUUUGUGUCCGGUUUAUUUCACUUAGCAUAAUGUUUUCAAAGUUCAUUUGUCGGCCAAGUGUGGUGGGUCACGCCUGUAACCCCAGCACUUUAGGAGGCUGAGGCAAGUGGAUCACUUGAGCUCAGGAGUUUGAGACCAGACUGGGCAAUAUGGCGAAAUCUCAUCUCUACAAAAACAAACAAAUGGACAAAAAAUUACCCGGAUAUGAUGGCAUGCACCUGUAGUCCCACCUACUUGGGAGGCUGAGAUGGGGGGAUUGCUUCAACCUGGGACGUCAAGGCUACAGUGAGCAGAGAUGGCACCACUGUACUCCAGCAUGGGUGACAGAGCAAGACCCUGUCUUUUUUUUUCUUUUUUUAAGAGGGAGUCUCACUCUGUUGCCAGGCUGAAGUGCAGUGGCAUGAUCUCG
rnacentral:lncRNA from 1 species